rnacentral:rRNA from 1 species
UGGAGCACGGGAGCAUCCUGGUGGCUAAUGGCGAACGGGUGAGUAAUAUAUCGGAACGUGCCCAGUCGUGGGGGAUAACGCAGCGAAAGCUGUGCUAAUACCGCAUACGAUCUACGGAUGAAAGCGGGGGAUCGCAAGACCUCGCGCGAUUGGAGCGGCCGAUAUCAGAUUAGCUAGUUGGUGGGGUAAAGGCCCACCAAGGCGACGAUCUGUAGCUGGUCUGAGAGGACGACCAGCCACACUGGAACUGAGACACGGUCCAGACUCCUACGGGAGGCAGCAGUGGGGAAUUUUGGACAAUGGGCGCAAGCCUGAUCCAGCAAUGCCGCGUGCAGGAUGAAGGCCUUCGGGUUGUAAACUGCUUUUGUACGGAACGAAACGGUGAGCUCUAAUAAAGUUUGCUAAUGACGGUACCGUAAGAAUAAGCACCGGCUAACUACGUGCCAGCAGCCGCGGUAAUACGUAGGGUGCGAGCGUUAAUCGGAAUUACUGGGCGUAAAGCGUGCGCAGGCGGUUAUGUAACGACAGAUGUGAAAUCCCCGGGCUCAACCUGGGACCUGCAUUUGUGACUGCAUAGCUAGAGUACGGUAGAGGGGGAUGGAAUUCCCGCGUGUUAGCAGUUGAAACUGCGUAGGAUAUGCGGGAAGGAACACACGCAUUGCCAAAGGGCAAUCCCCUGGAACCUGUUACUGAACGCUCUCAUUGCAAGAAAAGCGUCGGGG